rnacentral:rRNA from 1 species
CACGCAUGACACACUGCAAUCAAUAAGCGGAGGAAAAGAAACUAACUAGGAUUCCCUCAGUAACGGCGAGUGAAGCGGGAAGAGCUCAAAUUUGAAAUCUUCAAGGGUUUCCCUUGACGAAUUGUAGUUUAAAGAAGUGUUUUCUGUUAGAGAGGUGGUAAAAGUUCUUUGGAAUAGGACAUCAUAGAGGGUGAGAAUCCCGUAUUUGACCGUUACUUUCCAGCUGUGUGAUACACUUUCAAAGAGUCGGAUUGUUUGGGAAUGCAGUCCAAAAUGGGUGGCAAAUUUCAUCUAAAGCUAAAUAUUGGCGAGAGACCGAUAGCGAACAAGUACCGUGAGGGAAAGAUGAAAAGAACUUUGAAAAGAGAGUUAAACAGUACGUGAAAUUGUCAAAAGGGAAGCGUUUGACACCAGUGUUGUUUUUCCGAAAAUCAAUUAUGAAUGGCUUGAUUUUAAGUUUCAUGACCUUAAAAGCUUGUUUCUUAUUUUUCAUGUCUUUCGUAAUGCACUUUUCGGUUAACAGGUCAACAUCAAUUUCUUUUGUUGUAAAAGGGUAUGAGGAAGGUGGCUUUCUUUUCGGAGAAAGUGUUUAUAGCCUUGUACCUCUGCAAUCGGAGAGAUUGAGGUCUGCAGCGUAGAUCCUUCGGGGUUAGAUACAUUGGUGCUAAGCUAUAGUUCUUUAUAGACAACUUGUUGACUAUAAUCAAUCCUGUAACUUACUCGCUUAUGCUAUUUUACCUACGCUUAGGAUGUUGACUGAUAUGUAGUCGUA